rnacentral:tRNA from 1 species
GAGGGUAUAGCUCAGUGGUAGAGCGCAUGCCUAGCAUGCACAAGGUCCUGGGUUCAAUCCUCAGUAUCUCCA